UAAAGAACACUCUUUAAAAAAAAGAACCGUGGAACAAUGAAUUAAAAUCUGUACCUGAUCUCUUUAGGUAUGGUGCUGGGUGCAGAUGCAGUGUGGCUCUGGAUAGCACCUUAUGGACAGUUGUGUCCCCAAGGAAGGAUGAGAAUAGCUACUGAAGUCCUAAAGAGCAAGCCUAACUCAAGCCAUUGGCACACAGGCAUUAGACAGAAAGCUGGAAGUUGAAAUGGUGGAGUCCAACUUGCCUGGACCAGCUUAAUGGUUCUGCUCCUGGUAACGUUUUUAUCCAUGGAUGACUUGCUUGGGUAAGGACAUGAAGACAGUUCCUGUCAUACCUUUUAAAGGUAUGGAGAGUCGGCUUGACUACACUGUGUGGAGCAAGUUUUAAAGAAGCAAAGGACUCAGAAUUCAUGAUUGAAGAAAUGCAGGUUAGUUUAAACUUUGAAGGAAAUUUUUAAGGUGGCAAAAGGUUUUGGUGGCAUAUACACCUUAAUCUGUAGAUGGGAGUGAUUAGCUGUUUAAAAGUUAAAAUGUGACUGAGAAGGAAAUUGAGUAGGGCAAAUUUUAAAUGGGUAUUAUUUUUCAUCUUCAAACAGGCAGACCUGUUAUCCUAAACUAGGGUUUUUAAUGACCACAACAAGCAAGCAUGCAGCUUACUGCUUGAAAGGGUCUUGCCUCACCCAAGCUAGAGUGCAGUGGCCUUUGAAGCUUACUACAGCCUCAAACUUCUGGGCUCAAGUGAUCCUCAGCCUCCCAGUGGUCUUUGUAGACUGCCUGAUGGAGUCUCAUGGCACAAGAAGAUUAAAACAGUGUCUCCAAUUUUAAUAAAUUUUUGCAAUCC
rnacentral:lncRNA from 1 species